AUUGAACGCUGGCGGCAGGCCUAACACAUGCAAGUCGAACGAGUGGCGGACGGGUGAGUAAUGUCUGGGAAACUGCCUGAUGGAGGGGGAUAACUACUGGAAACGGUAGCUAAUACCGCAUACCAUCAGAUGUGCCCAGAUGGGAUUAGCUAGUUGGUGGGGUAACGGCUCACCAAGGCGACGAUCCCUAGCUGGUCUGAGAGGAUGACGCGCCACACGGGAACUGAGACACGGUCAAGACUCCUACGGAAGGAAGCAGUGGGGAAGAUUGCAAAAUGGGCGAAAGCCUGAUGAAGACAGGCCGCGGGUAUGAAGAAGGCCUUCGGGUUGUAAAGUACUUUCAGCGGGGAGGCGUUACCCGAAGAAGAAGCACCGGCUAACUCCGUGCCAGCCGCCGCGGUAAUUC
rnacentral:rRNA from 1 species